AGAGUUUGAUCAUGGACUCAGGAUGAACGCUAGCGGGAGGCCUAACACAUGCAAGCCGAGCGGUAUUGUUUCUUCGGAAAUGAGAGAGCGGCGUACGGGUGCGGAACACGUGUGCAACCUGCCUUUAUCUGGGGGAUAGCCUUUCGAAAGGAAGAUUAAUACUCCAUAAUAUAUUGAACGGCAUCGUUUAAUAUUGAAAGCUCCGGCGGAUAGAGAUGGGCACGCGCAAGAUUAGCUAGUUGGUGAGGUAACGGCUCACCAAGGCGAUGAUCUUUAGGGGCCUGAGAGGGUGAUCCCCCACACUGGUACUGAGACACGGACCAGACUCCUACGGGAGGCAGCAGUGAGGAAUAUUGGUCAAUGGGUGCAAGCCUGAACCAGCCAUCCCGCGUGAAGGACGACUGCCCUAUGGGUUGUAAACUUCUUUUGUAUAGGGAUAAACCUACCCUCGUGAGGGUAGCUGAAGGUACUAUACGAAUAAGCACCGGGCUAACUCCGUG
rnacentral:rRNA from 1 species